rnacentral:rRNA from 1 species
AGAGUACCGUGAGGGAAAGGUGAAAAGAACCCUGAGCAAGGGAGUGAAAUAGAAUUUGAAACCGUGUGCUUACAAACGGUAGGAGCACUUUAUGUGUGACUGCGUGGAUUUUGGUUAAUCAUCCUGCGAGUUAUGAUCAGUGGCAAGGUUAAUAAAGCGGAGCCGAAGGGAAACCGAGUCUUAAUAGGGCGUUAAGUCGCUGGUCAUAGACGCGAAACCUAGUGAUCUAGGCCUGUCCAGGCUGAAGCUGAGGUAAGACUCAGUGGAGGGCCGAACUCACCGCCGUUGAAAAGUUGGGAGAUGAGGCAGGUUUAGGGGUGAAAAGCCAAUCGAACUAGGAGAUAGCUCGUUCUCUCCGAAAUGCAUUUAGGUGCAGCCUUGACGUUAAGAUAUGUGGGGGUAGAGCUCUGUAUGGUCUAGGGGGCGUACUGCUUACCGAAAUCAAGCAAACUGCGAAUACCGCAUAUUAAUAGCCAGGAGUGAGUCCGUGGAUGACAAGGUCCUCGGACGAGAGGGGAACAGCCCAGACCGCCAGCUAAGGUCCCUAAUUAUGUCUAAGUGGGAAAGGAGGUGGAUAUUCACAGACAACCAGGAGGUUGGCUUAGAAGCAGCCAUACCUUGAAAGAGUGCGUAACAGCUCACUGGUCGAGAGUAUCUGCGCCGAAGAUGUAACGGGGCUAAGACAUAAACCGAAGCUGCGGAGGCGUGUUUUCACGCCUGGUAGGAGAGCGUUCUGUAGGCCGUCGAAGGUAAGCUGUAAGGCUUUCUGGAGGCAUCAGAAGUGAGAAUGCAGGAAUGAGUAGCGAGAAGGCGGGCGAGAAUCCCGCCGGCCGGAAGUCCAAGGUUUCCAGGGGAAGGUUUGUCCGCCCUGGGGAAGUCGGGACCUAAGCAUAAGCAAAAAUGUGAUGGCGAAUGGAAAACAGGUUAAUAUUCCUGUACCGCUGUUAUCGCCUGAGAGACGGAGUGACGCAGGAAGGUAUGCGGGAAGGCUGACGGAAUAGCCUUUCUAAGGGCGUAGCAUGGGCAUGCAGGAAAAUCCGCAUGCCUAAAUGUGAGACCUGACGGGUAAGUGCAUCUUGCAUAAGCCGCAGAUCCUACACUGCCGAGAAAAACUUCUAUCGAUGAGAACCAGCGCCCGUACUGUAAACCGACACAGGUGGACAGAGUGAGAAACUUAAGGCCGACAGGAUAACUCUAGCUAAGGAACUCUGCAAAAUAGCCCCGUAACUUCGGGAGAAGGGGUGCCUGAUAUACCUGAAAGGAGAAACACCUCAAGGGGAAACAGGCCGCAGUGAAGAGUCCCAAGCAACUGUUUACCAAAAACACAGGUCUAUGCUAAGCUGAAAGGCGACGUAUAUGGGCUGACACCUGCCCAGUGCCGGAAGGUUAAGAGGAGGAUUGAGAGAUUCGAAUUGAAGCCCCGGUGAACGGCGGCCGUAACUAUAACGGUCCUAAGGUAGCGAAAUUCCUUGUCGGGUAAGUUCCGACC